CGUAGGAACCAUUGCACCAAAGCAGACACUAAUAAAUCAAAGAAGUUAAUCUACAACUGCCAAAAUUCAUAACGUGUAUGAUGAACUUAGCCCUCAAAAGUGCACCGGAGACUGGCGCACAGGAUGAAAAUGAAAACAAGUCAAAGCUUCGGCAACAUGUCCCAAAACUGAUUUAUUGUUUAAAUGGACAUUUGAAGGACAUCGUUGACACGGCUAUACUCAAAACCGGAAUGACAACCUACGACCCACAUAAAGCGUCCGAAUUUACCCAUAAUCUAUCACUAGAAAUUGGCCUAACAUUGGAAGCUCGGAGAAAAACCAACGAAAAUUCAGAUCGAUUCCGAGCGAUUGUUUUGGUGACCAUAAUGCAAAAAAAUGAACAAUCCGCUGUUUGCAAACUGGGUUUUUUAUGGGAUCCUACGCAGGAUCAUUGGACCAACUACGUUUUCGACUGUCGCACAUUUCAAUUGAAUGCGUCGGUUUUUUGUGUUUCUCUGGACUGAUAUUUGAGAGGAGGAACUUUUAAAAUAAAACAAACUUCAUUAUCGGA